UACGUGAGGUGCGAGCGUUAAUCGAAUACUGGGCGUAAAGGGCACGUAGGCGGCUCGGCAAAUCGGUCGUGGAAUCCCGACGCUUACCGUCGGAACGGCGGCCGAAAAUACCGGGCUCGAGGGCGUGAGGGGUCACUGGAACUCCUGGUGAAGCGGUGAAAUGCGUAGAUAUCAGGAGGAACGCCGGAGGCGAAAGCGAGUGACUGGCGCGUUCCUGACGCUGAGGUGCGAAAGCUAGGGGAGCAAACAGG
rnacentral:rRNA from 1 species